GUUGUGCAAGUACCUAAAUCCUGACUGAAUCAGGCCGGAUUUAGUGACACAAUGGGACACCACCUCUGGAGGAGUUUGACAGAGUUGCCCUGAAACUUAUUAUUAUUGAAUAGAUUUCUGGUUUCCUAUAUGGAGUCUAGGAGAAUUUUUUGAUACAUUGCAGCUAAUUUAGAUAAGACACAUCAGCAGGAGUCUUUCCCUGGAGUCUAAGGGGCUUUGGACAGGAUCCUGGAUACUUAAAAAGCUGUAGACAAGUCUGUAUUGCAGCCAGCCUUCAUAUUUAGAUGGUAAUGUAUAUUGCUCAUGGUUAUUAUGAAAAUGAUUCCAAUUAGAGAUACCAGAUGCCGUGAUAUGAGGUAAGCUAAGGAAGCUGUCUUUAGCUAAGAAAUCACAUCCAGACCUAACAUUAACAAAAAAUGGCUGAAGCUGUUGAUAUUUAAGACUGCACAUAAAUAUUAGUGGCUAAAAGCUGUGCAAUAUGGCUUUUCUAAUAUUUUAUAACUCAUCUCAGCAAGAAGGAGAAGAUGCAGAAACUGUAUUUUCAAUACUGGCUUUCCUUCAAGUGAAUUGCACUUCUUACAAGUUCCACAGCAUCUCCUAUUUAUAGAUACAUAUUAGUUAAUUAAACUAUCAUUUAAACAGAAAAAUAAAACUAAAAAAUCCAUUCUCAGAGCAAAUCCUUUGAGUUAACACUGCUCUUGAAACUUUACAGAUCUCUACCCUGUGGAAAUAGACUACAGACACCCGGAGGUAGAUUACAUUUUAUUAUCAGUGACUGCAGAGUCAAGUCCUCAUUGACAGUGAAAGUCUUGGCAUAGGGAGGGAAGAGGAAGGGUAAAGGAAGAGUUCUUUUUUGGCCAAUAUUCAUUCCUGCUUGUGAAGACUCUUAGUGUCCUUGACCAUAGAACCCUAGGAAAGUGCUGCUGUGGCAUUUUGCACUACCCUGUACAUGGGAGGGAGCAAAAACCAGAGUUUUAUAGAACAAGAACACGUGAGCCCUGUUCCAGCCCAGUAUUUAACUCCUGUUCAGGCAAAGCAGUAAUAGUGACACAAUAGGAAAAGCUCCCACAGACCUCUCAGGAGUGUGCAACAGCCACAGAGACUCCAGUGCAAAUAAACUCUCUGAUGAUACUGAUUUGGUUUCUGCUGAGUAGGACCUUAGGAGUGAGAUAACCAGCACAGCUUCAAACAGAGAGCUUGGAUCCACAUUUGUCCCACUCCAGUCAUUUUCAUUUCACAUGUAAAGCAGUUCUGUCUGGGACACAGGGACAGAAAGUUGUAAUAAAUUGGACAGAGAAUUUGGUGAUCUCUGCUCCCAGUACUUGAACCUCCAAAAAAAUUGUCUUUCACUUAGAGCUCUAAGGACAGUUUGUAAAAGUACAACACUGCCUUUCUCUCUUUUCCAUGGCACAGAAUUCUUCUGCCAGGAUUGGCUUCCCUUCCUCCUUUGACAAAUCAACACAAUUUUGGCAGUGACUGCCAGUGCUGUGCUACCAAUAAUUUACCAGAACUGAGGGAUUUUGGUGCUUUCAUUCAGCACAACUAAAUGAUCUCCCACAUGCCCAGAUCUGUUCCAUUUCUGGUUUAGGUGCUGGAGUCUCAGUCCUACCCUGACACUGGGCUCUGUUUCCAGGCUGUUCAGAGGAUGAGCCAUCCCAAGGAUUUGGAGGGUAAGAUAGUGGGUGUAUGUUAGGGUUCAGUUGAGGACACACUACUGUGCAUCUUGGAAAGGAAUUAGAGACUUGCACAAACACUGUAAAUUAGAAAAUAAAAGCACUUGUUCAUAAUUUAUUGAAUUUUUAAGGCUUAUGUAAAAUUUUGUGAUUUCUGAUAUGUCAGCUCUAAAAGCACCUUCUGCAGGGUUCUGCAUCAACACAGAUGACAAAUUGUCCCUAUUUGAGCUGUUUGCAAAGUUAUUAUAAAACUCGAGGUGAGUGAUGCAGGCUGGACUGUGGAGAGAGCUUCUCCCAGGAUUCAUUUUGGGGGUGAACUGCAUGUACAGCAGGGAGGAGUUGCAUAAAGCUGAAAUGACAUUGCUCACAUUAGCUUCAGUGCUUAGAUUCAAACAUGUAUUAACCUGGGAAAUAAUAUAAAUGCCAUUUGAAAGCCUAUUCUUAUAACAUUUCUGACCCACUUCAGGCUCCUUUUGGUAAUCUGGGAAGGGACCUUUGUUCCCAUGGCAGCCCAUAAUUUCCUGAGUGAAACAGUUCAGCUGAGCUCUGAAUGACAGAGUCAGGCAUUUGGAUGCUUAUCUUGCUUCCAAGUGUUCCGAGGUUCCUCAUUUCUCACUUAUUGCACAAUGCCCCAAUCUCACUCUGAAGGUGAGAACUGGAUCAGAAAGAAAAUAUAAUUGCUUUUUUUUUAUUAGCUUAUGAUACAGUCCCGCCCUUCUGUGUUGCCAGCUUACCGAGUUAUUCACAAAUGAUGAUAUACAUAGAGGGAAUGAUAUAAUUAUCAGCCUAUAAUUACAGGUAUAUAGAUAUAUACAUCCCCCUGGAGGAGAGCUGGGCUUGGCACAUACCUGCUUGUAACACUGAGUCUUUAGGGAAUUCAUGCCCAUUUUAAGUAGAAGAUUAUUUAUUUAUCAAAUGCUUGAGACAUUUUAUGAAAAAUGAACCCAAAAGAAUCCUUUGAUUCUUUUUAAUAAAGUUCAUAAAGUAAGUACUGAACAGAUCCAGGCAUGCAGGAGCAAACUCUCUUGUGCAGAGCGAAAGCAGAGAUGUUUCCCAAUCGUGGUAAAUUAUUGGUAGCACAGCAUUGGCAGUCAAUGAAGAGUUUGCAGCAGCAAAGCUGAUUUGUUGAGGGAAGGGAAGAUGCCAGUCUUGGCACAGUGAUCAGAAGCUAACACUGAGAAAGCCAAGUCAGUGCUGUAUCCCCACAGACACCUCCUUUUUUUUUUUUCCUUUUUUUUUUCUUGAAAGCUUUACACAGAAUUAGUUUAUCUUAUGAUGCUGCUUUAAUACUGUAACCAUAGAUAAACCCUAUUGCCUUCCCACUCUGUUUCAAUGCCUCAUUUUGUCAUCGGGGCAGAUAGUGAUUCUCAGCUGAUAUAAAUCAGCAAAGCUCCACUGAUUUUUAACAAAGCUGUGCCAGCUUCUGCUAGCUGAGGGUCUGCCUGGAUAUUUCUCUAGCUGUAAAGCAAAGAAUCCAGCAGGCAAAGCUGAUGUAAGUUGGAUAUUUUUUUUUGGCUGGUUUUUCUUUGUUCUAUCUUGCAAAUGCUGCUCUCAUUCAUAACUGCUUGGAUGCUUUCAAGUCUGUGUGCAAGAGUUAUGGGGCCUAAUCUGGCUCCUACAAUGGUGCAAAUCUAGGGUAGCUCUAGUUAAAUCAAAAGCAUUACUCAGAGGUAUUGCACUGCUGUAAAAGCACUGUGCUUGUGCAGAGCAACUGAUCUGUAAAUCUCAUAAUGUGCCCAGGAUCUUUCCAAGAGUUUAUUUGCAAACAAACAAACAAAAAGAAUCAUCGUGGCUAAACAGACUGAUUCCAGCCCGUGGAAAACGGACUGAGCCUCUGCCAGGAAUAAACUGUAGACACUUGCUAAUUACAAUUUGUGGCCAGAUUACAAAGUUCAGUAAAGGAGAAAACUGCCCCAUUCAGAUCCUCUCUCCCAGUUUGAUGACAUCACUCACAUCAUUAUGUUGUGAUAUGCCAGAUGGGAAAAUUUGAGGUGGGGAUGAAGUGAAAAUCCCGGUUACACCUUUUCUCCAGGCUAUCUGCCUCUCCAUCAUUUUACAACAUCACAGAGAGUCUCAGACAGUUUGACUCUGCCAUCCCCAGCUGGUUUGGACCAACCAGAUAAAUGCUGAACCAUUAAGAAUCGAUACAUGUUUCCACCAUUGUGACAGGUUAUGCUGCACGUAGCUAACCUUACUUUAAUUAGUUUAUUUAAGCUCACUAGUACAUUUAAAUAAAGAGGGAAGGUAAUAGUAUAAACUCUGUAAUUUCUGUUGCCUGGGAAUAAAAAAAAUAAAAACAGCCCUGCAUCAAAUGCUUAUUGAAACUGAAACAUAUGUAUUAACAUAUGGCAGAAUUUCACUUACUGUAUGUUUUAGUGCAGAGCUGAUGAGGAAGGCAUCUGUGCUGAGAGCAUCUGAAUGGAAGCUCAGAUAAUGAGCUGAGCUCAAAAAAUACACUCUGAAAGGCUGGGAUGUGUCAAAGUGCCCUGCAGUUGAUUUGUGUCAGAGCUGAAAGAAUACAUUCAAGUCUCACACAGGUACAUGGCUGGGCUUUCCUUUCUGCACCAGAGCCUUUGGAGUCUUCCUCUGCUGCCCUGGGCUCCUGCUCUGGAAGUUCUGGGCAAUUCUAAACCCCACACCAAUGGUCUCACACCAGAAAUACUGACACCACUUCUUGUGGUGUGCAAGUGCUGUUACAGCAUUGCUGUUUAACAAAGAGCAGGUGAAUUGGAGAGCCCAAACACCAAGCUCAGAUCAGGUUUGAAGGGCUCAGAUCUUGUCUUCAGGGCAGCAGCUCUUUGGGGUUUGGUUUUGCACUCCCUGCAGAUGGGUACAGCUGUGAGCACAGCCUCUGUCCUCAAACCAGGCACUGAGGAGUGAGAGAGAACUUCCCAUGCCGAUCCUCACCCUGGCCAAGCAGGCUUUGGAGUUUUGGGUUCUGAGAUGAGCCCCUGAGCCCUGUGACUGAACCAUUUCUCCUGCUCACAGCUAUGCAGGGCUCCAGCAAACUCUGCAAAGACUCUCAGAGCCUCUUGCUGCCAGCUCCUGAUAUUAUUACUGGGCACUACAAAGCCACAUUGUUCUACGCCUGUUUACUGGAAGUAAGAUAUGAGGAUACCAGGUGUAAGUGCUUUUCUGCCUUAAGGAUAGAAGUCUUUCUGAUUUGACCACAGUAGGGCACCUGCAUCGCUCAACCACAGCUUACCUGGCUCCUGCAAGAUGUUUUCAAAGCAUCCAGUUGCUACUCAGUGACCCAGAAAAAAAUUUACCACCUACUCACAAACCCUCAUUUUGAAGUACUGUGCCUCUUAUUUAAUGCAAGGAAUCUUAAGGUUCUUCAGAGUGUGGGCUGUGUAUUAAAAUGUGUGAACCACUUGUGUACCAUUGUGCAAAUCACAUCUUUUGAUAUGAAACUGUACUCCAGGGAUAAUUCCUUAAAAAAAAAAGUGACUAUUGAGACCAAGGAAAAGUAUUUAAGAGGUGUACAUUGCUUUUCAGGGAAGCAUGGAAGAUUCCAGGCAUGGAGCUUAGGGACAUGGUUUAAUGGUGGGCUUGGCACUGUUGGGUUUACACCUGGAUUCAAAGUUCUUUUCCAACUUAAAUGAUUCUGUGAUUCUGUUAAAUAAAGAAAAUAAGUUGGUGUGACUCAAACUGUCUGUUUCUCUGAAACACCAAAAUAAGGUGAUGCAGAGAAGUCAUGUCCGUGUACACAUCAAAAUUCCAUUUUCUGACAAGCUUUGAAUCUGUUGCAUUUCCAUUUUUACCUGUAUUGAGGGAAAUUCUGGAGGUCCUGUCAUGACUAGAUUUCAGUUUGUGGCCCUGGAACAUGAUUUAUUUAUUUAUUUAUUGAACUCCACCCAGGUACAAACUUCUCCUUCAGAGGAAGGACAGGUUGUCUAAUUUGGGGUAAAGCUAC